rnacentral:tRNA from 1 species
GGCAGGGUACAGCUCAGGGGAGAGCGCAUGUUUAGCAUGCACGAGGUCCUGGGUUCAAUCCCCAGUCCCUCCA